UACAGAGGGGGCUAGCGUUAUUCGGAAUUAUUGGGCGUAAAGGGCGCGUAGGCGGCCAUGCGUGUCUUCCGUGAAAUCCCUCGGCUUAACUGAGGACGUGCGGAAGAAACUGCAAGGCUUGAGUCCGGGAGAGGGGGGUGGAAUUCCCAGUGUAGCGGUGAAAUGCGUAGAUAUUGGGAGGAACACCGGUGGCGAAGGCGGCCCCCUGGACCGGUACUGACGCUGAGGCGCGAAAGCGUGGGUAGCAAACAGG
rnacentral:rRNA from 1 species